rnacentral:rRNA from 1 species
UGGAUGAUGUGGAUUAAUUCGAUGCAACGCGAAGAACCUUACUACCCUUGACAUGUCCGGAACUUGCCAGAGAUGGCUUGGGUGCCCGAAAGGGAAUCGGAACACAGGUGCUGCAUGGCUGUCGUCAGCUCGUGUCGUGAGAUGUUGGGUUAAGUCCCGCAACGAGCGCAACCCUUAUCAUUAGUUGCUACGCAAGGGCACUCUAAUGAGACUGCCGGUGACAAACCGGAGGAAGUGGGGAUGACGUCAAGUCCUCAUGGCCCUUAUGGGUAGGGCUUCACACGUCAUACAAUGGUCGGUACAGAGGGUUGCCAAGCCGCGAGGCGGAGCCAAUCCCACAAAGCCGAUCGUAGUCCGGAUUGUUCUCUGCAACUCGAGAGCAUGAAGUCGGAAUCGCUAGUAAUCGCAGGUCAGCAUACUGCGGUGAAUACGUUCCCGGGUCUU